GCAGGGAGAAGAUCUAUCGGAUCAUCACAGCCCGCUGCUAGAGUCAGGCCGAGUCUCCUGGGAAAGGCUAUGCUGUGCUGUCUUAGGCAGCGCGAUUAUCCUGCAAGUUAUUGAGGAGUCACAUCUGCCCUGCAGUCCUGCCUGGACCGAGACAGUGUUUGGCGUCCCACCCCGAACAAAGUCAAAGUUGACUUUUCUGCACUGCUGAGCUAACUCGAAAGAAAAUCUGUCACUCGUGCUUAGUGACAACUCUGCUACACUUCCUCAUGAGUGCAAGUCAGCCAGAACCCAGAGCCCCUGGGACCACCUCAUGAACAGACACGGGGUGGAGCUAAUUUGCAGAAACAGGCACAAAUAGAAGCUGCAGCCUGACCCAGGGCUGACAGGAGACACGGAGCACUUUCCACUCAGCUUCCCUCACGCCCGCGCAGCCCACCUGGCGCAGCCUACAGAUGAUGUCAGCCAGUAAGGAAAGCAGAACCCAGGAAAAUGGAGCCCGAGCGUUGGGAUUUGGCCGAUGCCAGCCCUGCCCCCAUGCUCCAGUCUGGAGCCAACGUGCUUUGUCGUUGCUGAAGCCGAAAGUUCAGGAUCUGUCACUCAACACCAGAGUGUUCUAAAUAGUGCAGAGCUGUAUAGGCCAGCAGCAGAGAAACAAAAACAGGGUUUUGACUCCACAAACCACAUUCUCUUCCAUUAGGCAGAGCAGCUGCUUUGUUCAAAACGUGGUUUCGUCAUUUCCUAUAGUGUCCAGGCUAUUUAC